UAUAAAAAGGUGUUGAUGCACAAGAAAUUUUGAUUUUCUAGGUUCUAAUUUAUAGUUAGAUUUUAUAA
rnacentral:tRNA from 1 species